GGAUGAACGCUAGCGGGAGGCCUAACACAUGCAAGCCGAGCGGUAGAGUCUCUUCGGAGACUUGAGAGCGGCGCACGGGUGCGGAACACGUGUGCAACCUGCCUUUAUCUGGGGGAUAGCCUUUCGAAAGGAAGAUUAAUACCCCAUAAUAUACUGGAUGGCAUCAUUCGGUAUUGAAAACUCCGGUGGAUAGAGAUGGGCACGCGCAAGAUUAGAUAGUUGGUGAGGUAACGGCUCACCAAGUCUGCGAUCUUUAGGGGGCCUGAGAGGGUGAUCCCCCACACUGGUACUGAGACACGGACCAGACUCCUACGGGAGGCAGCAGUGAGGAAUAUUGGACAAUGGGUGAGAGCCUGAUCCAGCCAUCCCGCGUGAAGGACGACGGCCCUAUGGGUUGUAAACUUCUUUUGUAUAGGGAUAAACCUACUCUCGUGAGAGUAGCUGAAGGUACUAUACGAAUAAGCACCGGCUAACUCCGU
rnacentral:rRNA from 1 species